UUAUUCUCUUUCUAAAAUCACUGCUUCCCCCAUUCUCUCUCUCUACAGCAACCCUUCCUUGAUAGACAACUCCAGCGUUAGCGCGGCAUCAGAGUGGAUGCACAGAUCUGUCUCUUCGCCUAAGUGGAUGCGCUAGGAUGGUCACAUCGUCGGUGGAGUUGAGGCGCAGCGAUACGGACUAAACUCUUCUUCGGUGUUUCAGAUCACGCUGCAAUUUGGACUUUUUGUGCGGUGUUACGGACUUUUGUGUGGUUUUAUAGAUCGUAUGAUUUUUUGAUAAAUUUUUCGACAUGUUUUGUUGCGGUUUUUGAGAUGGUUAUUGUGUAGGCUGUGAUAGUGUGCUGUGGUGGUGGUGACGGCUUGUUUGUGGGUUUUUUUGGUGGGGAUGGUGGUUGGGUGCGGUUUAAAUGGAGAGAGGAG
rnacentral:lncRNA from 1 species